rnacentral:rRNA from 1 species
GUGGGGAAUAUUGGACAAUGGGCGAAAGCCUGAUCCAGCCAUGCCGCGUGUGUGAAGAAGGUCUUCGGAUUGUAAAGCACUUUAAGUUGGGAGGAAGGGCAGUAAGUUAAUACCUUGCUGUUUUGACGUUACCGACAGAAUAAGCACCGGCUAACUUCGUGCCAGCAGCCGCGGUAAUACGAAGGGUGCAAGCGUUAAUCGGAAUUACUGGGCGUAAAGCGCGCGUAGGUGGUUUUGUAAGUUGGAGGUGAAAUCCCCGGGCUCAACCUGGGAACUGCCUCGAAAACUGCAUGACUAGAGUACUGUAGAGGGUAGUGGAAUUUCCUGUGUAGCGGUGAAAUGCGUAGAUAUAGGAAGGAACACCAGUGGCGAAGGCGACUACCUGGACUGAUACUGACACUGAGGUGCGAAAGCGUGGGGAGCAAACAGGAUUAGAUACCCGUGUAGUCC